AGUGAACGCUGGCGGUAGGCCUAACACAUGCAAGUCGAACGGCAGCACAGUAAGAGCUUGCUCUUACGGGUGGCGAGUGGCGGACGGGUGAGGAAUACAUCGGAAUCUACUUUUUCGUGGGGGAUAACGUAGGGAAACUUACGCUAAUACCGCAUACGACCUACGGGUGAAAGCAGGGGAUCUUCGGACCUUGCGCGAUUGAAUGAGCCGAUGUCGGAUUAGCUAGUUGGCGGGGUAAAGGCCCACCAAGGCGACGAUCCGUAGCUGGUCUGAGAGGAUGGUCAGCCGCACUGGGACGGAGACACGGUCCAGACGCCUACGGGAGGCAGCAGUGGGGAAUAUUGGACAAUGGGCGGAAGACUGAGCCAGCCAUACCGCGUGGGUGAAGAAGGCCUUCGGGUUGUAAAGCCCGUUUGUUGGGAAAGAAAAGCAGCAGGUUAAUACCCCGCUGUUCUGAAGGGAACCAAAGAAUAAGCACCGGCUAACUUCGUGC
rnacentral:rRNA from 1 species